AUUGAACGCUGGCGGCAUGCUUUACACAUGCAAGUCGGACGGCAGCAUAAAAGAGCUUGCUCUUUUGAUGGCGAGUGGCGAACGGGUGAGUAACGCAUCGGAACGUACCGAGUAGUGGGGGAUAACUGUCCGAAAGGAUGGCUAAUACCGCAUAUUCUCUGAGGAGGAAAGCAGGGGACCUUAGGGCCUUGCGCUAUUUGAGCGGCCGAUGUCUGAUUAGCUAGUUGGUGGGGUAAGAGCCCACCAAGGCGACGAUCAGUAGCGGGUCUGAGAGGAUGAUCCGCCACACUGGGACUGAGACACGGCCCAGACUCCUACGGGAGGCAGCAGUGGGGAAUUUUGGACAAUGGGCGCAAGCCUGAUCCAGCCAUGCCGCGUGUAUGAAGAAGGCCUUCGGGUUGUAAAGUACUUUUGUCAGGGAAGAAAAGCCUGAGGAUAACACCCUCAGGUCAUGACGGUACCUGAAGAAUAAGCACCGGCUAACUACGUGCCAGCAGCCGCGGUAAUACGUAGGGUGCGAGCGUUAAUCGGAAUUACUGGGCGUAAAGCGAGCGCAGACGGUUAUUUAAGCAAGAUGUGAAAGCCCCGGGCUCAACCUGGGAACUGCGUUUUGAACUGGGUAACUAGAGUGUGUCAGAGGGGGGUAGAAUUCCACGUGUAGCAGUGAAAUGCGUAGAGAUGUGGAGGAAUACCGAUGGCGAAGGCAGCCCCCUGGGAUAACACUGACGUUCAUGCUCGAAAGCGUGGGUAGCAAACAGG
rnacentral:rRNA from 1 species